ensembl:lncRNA
AUGCAUCAAAACACAAAGACACACUUUAUCACAAAACACAUCAAAACAAUAACAUGCAUCAAAACACAAAAAACACAUCAAUACAAUACAAAAAAACACAAAACUCCACAUCAAAACAAUAACAUGCAUCAAAACACAAAACAACACAUCAAAACAAUAACAUGCAUCAAAACUACACAUCAAAACAAUAACAUGCAUCAAAACACAAAACAACACAUCAAAACAAUAACAUGCAUCAAAACUACACAUCAAAACAAUAACAUGCAUCAAAACACAAAACAACACAUCAAAACAAUAACAUGCAUCAAAACUACACAUCAAAACAAUAACAUGCAUCAAAACACAAAACAACACAUCAAAACAAUAACAUGCAUCAAAACUACACAUCAAAACAAUAACAUGCAUCAAAACACAAAACAACACAUCAAAACAAUAACAUGCAUCAAAACUACACAUCAAAACAAUAACAUGCAUCAAAACACAAAACAACACAUCAAAACAAUAACAUGCAUCAAAACUACACAUCAAAACAAUAACAUGCAUCAAAACACAAAACAACACAUCAAAACAAUAACAUGCAUCAAAACUACACAUCAAAACAAUAACAUGCAUCAAAACACAAAACAACACAUCAAAACAAUAACAUGCAUCAAAACUACACAUCAAAACAAUAACAUGCAUCAAAACACAAAACAACACAUCAAAACAAUAACAUGCAUCAAAACUACACAUCAAAACAAUAACAUGCAUCAAAACACAAAACAACACAUCAAAACAAUAACAUGCAUCAAAACUACACAUCAAAACAAUAACAUGCAUCAAAACACAAAACAACACAUCAAAACAAUAACAUGCAUCAAAACUACACAUCAAAACAAUAACAUGCAUCAAAACACAAAACAACACAUCAAAACAAUAACAUGCAUCAAAACUACACAUCAAAACAAUAACAUGCAUCAAAACACAAAGACACUUCAACACAAAACACAUCAAAACAAUAACAUGCAUUAA